rnacentral:sRNA from 1 species
UCUUUUAGUUUCCGGUGUCUCUGCAAUGGCGGCUCUAGACUCCCUGUCGCUCUUCACUAGCCUCGGCCUGAGCGAGCAGAAGGCCCGUGAGACGCUCAAGAACUCGGCUCUGAGCGCGCAGCUGCGCGAGGCCGCUACUCAGGCUCAGCAGACCCUGGGUUCCACCAUUGACAAAGCUACCGGGAUCCUGUUAUAUGGCUUGGCCUCCCGACUCAGGGAUACCCGGCGUCUCUCCUUCCUUGUAAGCUACAUAGCCAGUAAGAAGAUCCACACUGAGCCCCAGCUAAGCGCUGCCCUUGAGUAUGUGCGGAGUCACCCCUUGGACCCCAUCGACACUGUGGACUUCGAGCGGGAAUGUGGCGUGGGUGUCAUUGUGACCCCAGAGCAGAUUGAGGAGGCUGUGGAGGCUGCUAUUAACAGGCACCGGCCCCAGCUCCUGGUGGAACGUUACCAUUUCAACAUGGGGCUGCUGAUGGGAGAGGCUCGGGCUGUGCUGAAGUGGGCAGAUGGCAAAAUGAUCAAGAAUGAAGUGGACAUGCAGGUGAGCGUGCUU